AGCGAACGCUGGCGGCAGGCCUAACACAUGCAAGUCGAACGAAGUCUUCGGACUUAGUGGCGGACGGGUGAGUAACACGUGGGAACGUACCUUUUGGUUCGGAACAACUCAGGGAAACUUGAGCUAAUAACGGAUGAGCCCUUAGGGGGAAAGAUUUAUCGCCGAAAGAGCGGCCCGCGUUAGAUUAGCUAGUUGGUGAGGUAAAGGCUCACCAAGGCUACGAUCUAUAGCUGGUCUGAGAGGAUGAUCAGCCACACUGGGACUGAGACACGGCCCAGACUCCUACGGGAGGCGGCAGUGGAGAAUCUUGCGCAAUGGGCGAAAGCCUGACGCAGCCAUGCCGCGUGAAUGAUGAAGGUCUUAGGAUUGUAUAAUUCUUUUACCAGGGACGAUAAUGACGGUACCUGGAGAAAAGGCCCCGGCUAACUUCGUGCCAGCCGCCGCCGUAAUAC
rnacentral:rRNA from 1 species